ensembl:lncRNA
AAGUCCAAAACAAGAGGUUGCGAGGGAAACCGUGAAAAAGGCAUUCAUGUAACAAAUAAAUGUCCAGUUACGUGAAUGUGUAUGUGCCACAAGGGAGGACGCUGCAGGUAUCAGACCUGAUAUUUCUCGCUCUUUUGUAAAAAAGGAUGUGCAAUUCAAUGAUAUAUGAAAUGUAGGUUAUCCUAGUAUUUGUCAUAAUUUCAGUGUUUGAGGUAUUUUACAGUCAGGAUGGCCGAGUGGUCUAAGGCGCUGCGUUAAGGUCGCAGUCUCCCCUGGAGGCGUGGGUUCAAAUCCCACUUCUGACAAAAGGUUAAGACAAGUGUUUUAAUUUCUGUAAAGUCCAAAACAAGAGGUUGCGAGGGAAACCGUGAAAAAGGCAUUCAUGUAACAAUAAAUGUCCACUUACGUGAAUGUGUAUGUGCCACAAGGGAGGACGCUGCAGGUAUCAGACCUGAUAUUUCUCGCUCUUUUGUAAAAAGGAUGUGCAAUUCAAUGAUAUAUGAAAUAUAGGUUAUCCUAGUAUUUGUCAUAAUUUCAGUGUUUGAGGUAUUUUACAGUCAGGAUGGCCGAGUGGUCUAAGGCGCUGCGUUAAGUUCGCAGUCUCCCCGGGAGGCGUGGGUUCAAAUCCCACUUCUGACAAAAGGUUAAGACAAUUCUUUAAAUUUCUGUAAAGUCCAAAACAAGAGGUUGCGAGGGAAACCGUGAAAAAGGCAUUCAUGUGACGAAUAAAUGUCCACUUACGUGAAUGUGUAAGUGCCACAAGGGAGGACGCUGCAGGUAUCAGAGCUGAUAUUUCUCGCUCUUUUGUAAAAAAGGAUGUGCAAUUCAAUGAUAUAUGAAAUGUAGGUUAUCCUAGUAUUUGUCAUAAUUUCAGUGUUUGAUGUAUUUUACAGUCAGGAUGGCCGAGUGGUCUAAGGCGCUGCUUUAAGGUCGCAGUCUCCCCGGGAGGCGUGGGGUCAUAUCACACUUCUGACAGAAG